rnacentral:rRNA from 1 species
GGUGGUUGGUCACGUCUGCUGUGGAAACGCAACGCUUAACGUUGCGCGUGCAGUGGGUACGGGCUGACUAGAGUGCAGUAGGGGAGUCUGGAAUUCCUGGUGUAGCGGUGAAAUGCGCAGAUAUCAGGAGGAACACCGGUGGCGAAGGCGGGACUCUGGGCUGUAACUGACACUGAGGAGCGAAAGCAUGGGGAGCGAACAGGAUUAGAUACCCUGGUAGUCCAUGCCGUAAACGUUGGGCACUAGGUGUGGGGGGCAUUCCACGUUCUCCGCGCCGUAGCUAACGCAUUAAGUGCCCCGCCUGGGGAGUACGGUCGCAAGGCUAAAACUCAAAGGAAUUGACGGGGGCCCGCACAAGCGGCGGAGCAUGCGGAUUAAUUCGAUGCAACGCGAAGAACCUUACCAAGGCUUGACAUACACCGGACCGUCCUGGAAACAGGUCUUCUUCUUUGAAGCUGGUGUACAGGUGGUGCAUGGUUGUCGUCAGCUCGUGUCGUGAGAUGUUGGGUUAAGUCCCGCAACGAGCGCAACCCUCGUUCUAUGUUGCCAGCACGUGAUGGUGGGAACUCAUAGGAGACUGCCGGGGUCAACUCGGAGGAAGGUGGGGAUGACGUCAAAAUCAUCAUGCCCUUUUAUGGUCUUGGGCUUCACGCAUGCCACAAUGGCUGGUACAGAGAGAGGCGAACCCGUGAGGGCAAGCGAAUCCCUUAAAGCCAGUCUCAGUUCGGAUCGUAGUCUGCAAUUCGACUACGUGAAGUCGGAGUC